ACUGGCAAGCUUGAGUCUUGUAGAGGGGGGUAGAAUUCCAGGUGUAGCGGUGAAAUGCGUAGAGAUCUGGAGGAAUACCGGUGGCGAAGGCGGCCCCCUGGACAAAUACUGACGCUCAGGUGCGAAAGCGUGGGGAGCAAACAGGAUUAGAUACCCUGGUAGUCCACGCCGUAAACGAUGUCGACUUGGAGGUUGUGCCCUUGAGGAGUGGCUUCCGGAGCUAACGCGUUAAGUCGACCGCCUGGGGAGUACGGCCGCAAGGUUAAAACUCAAAUGAAUUGACGGGGGCCCGCACAAGCGGUGGAGCAUGUGGUUUAAUUCGAUGCAACGCGAAGAACCUUACCUACUCUUGACAUCCAGAGAACUUAGCAGAGAUGCAUUGGUGCCUUCGGGAACUCUGAGACAGGUGCUGCAUGGCUGUCGUCAGCUCGUGUUGUGAAAUGUUGGGUUAAGUCCCGCAACGAGCGCAACCCUUAUCCUUUGUUGCCAGCGAUUCGGUCGGGAACUCAAAAGAGACUGCCCGUGAUAAACCGGAAGAAGGUGGGGAUGACGUCAAGUCAUCCUGGCCCUUACGAGUAGGGCUACACACGUGCUACAAUGG
rnacentral:rRNA from 1 species